ensembl:misc_RNA Metazoa_SRP Metazoan signal recognition particle RNA
GCCAGGCAUAGUGGCGCAUGCUUGUAGUCCCAGCUACUCUGGAGGCUGAGGCAGGAAGAUCACUUGAGCCCAGGAAGUCAAGGCUGCAGUGAGCUAUGAUUGAGCUAUGAUUGUACCACUGCACUCCAGCCUGGACAACAUAGUGAGACCUUGUCUCCA